rnacentral:rRNA from 1 species
AUUGAACGCUGGCGGCAUGCUUUACACAUGCAAGUCGAACGGCAGCGCGGGCCUCGUCCUGGCGGCGCGUGGCGCACGGGGGAGUGUUACAUUUGAACGUGCCGCGUAGUGGGGGAUGGCACGGCGAAAGCCGGAUUGAUACUACAUACGACCUGAGGCUGAAAGCGGGGGAGCGUAAGGCCUCGCCCUAUUGGGGCGGCCGAUGUCGGGUUAGCUAGUUGGUGGGGUAAAGGCUUACCAAGGCGACGAUCCGUAGCUGGUCUGAGAGGACGACCAGCCACACUGGGACUGAGACACGGCCCAGACUCCUACGGGAGGCAGCAGUGGGGAAUUUUGGACAAUGGGGGCAACCCUGAUCCAGCCAUGCCGCGUGCGGGAAGAAGGCCUUCGGGUUGUAAACCGCUUUUGUUCGGGAAGAAAUCCUCUGGGCUAAUACCCCGGGGGAAUGACGGUACCGGAAGAAUAAGCACCGGCUAACUACGUG